rnacentral:sRNA from 1 species
CAGCGCCUGCCCCAGAGCUCCCACGCCCCUGCCCGCCACAUCUGCAGUGCCGCACACAGACAGGAGACCAGCAUUACAGCAACAACCGAGGGGCCACUGCCUGAUGAAUUGCCAGAGGGGAACCACCAGCUCUGCUUUUAAUAACCGGAUCUGCAUCCUGCUGCUGCCCAGCUGGGCUGAGGGCCCUGACCACGGCUAAGGGGAGUCAUCACAGGGCUUCAGGGCUGGAAUUCCAGUGCUGCAGGAUGAGUGGCGCUGGUCUCGGGAUCCGCAGAGUCUACAGGGCCCUGGGCUUGGACACCGUCUCAGGGGUUUGUGCCUUCAGAGCCUGGUGGAGCAGCCAAGCAACUGGGCACAUGAAGGCAAAGGUAGACAUCCAUUGCAGAAAGUCCUGCCCCAUACCCACACCCAGAAGGAAGAAAUGCAUGCUCAGAGGGGCCAGGAAGAAAUCCAGACAGACAGGCCUUGCUGGGUGUCCCCACUCGGUCUGUUCACAUUCGAUCAUUGCCCUUUUUGUCCAGUCAUAUCGCUACACAGCUGUCCAUGUGUCCUUGAAACUCAGCAUAAAAGGGGACAAUUUUCCCUGUA